UGUUUAAGACAAUGGUAGAAGAGAGUGUAGUUCUGUUCAGUUUGGAGUUCAGUUUAUCAUAGGGUUUAUCAUUAAUAUGCUAAUUUUACUAGCUCCUCCUUUCAACCAGAUUUCACAGUUUGAAGGAACUUCCUUUUCCACUGCAAGCAGAGUUUGAACCUUUACAAGAAGAGAACCAUGAAGAGGAGCUUGGAGUGGGCAAGGGGGAGGCUGAUAAAGCAGCAGAGAAGACCUGAUUCAUCAAGUAUCAAUUCAUUUAGGUGAUUCUCACCUGGUUGGCAUGCAUGCACAACACGACAAGGUAUGCAACGUUAAGCCCAAACAAAUAUCCAAUGUUAUUAAAACAUGUAUCCCAAUUUACAGUCAAGCAACGUUUGUCAGUUGUGUUAAUGUUAUGAACUACAAACAAUCUAUGGUUCUUGGGAGUCAAUGAAUCAAUUGAAAGUGACUACAAUUAGACAUUUUAAAACUGUGCCAGUAAAGAUAAAAGUAAUCUGCUCUAAGGUUCUGUUUACAUUUUAUCCAGACACUUCAAUCUGACACUCUUAAUGUUUGACAUCAGGCAAAAUGUCUUCAGCCACCAUAGGACGGAGAGCCGCUGGUUGGCAUUUGACUGCAGUGUUUGUGGGUGUACCAGGAAAGGACGUUAGAAGUUAGGUCCCCAUGAUAUUGAAGCUUUUUACGUCUCCACUGCAGCCCAGUCGAUAUCGAUUAAAAAAAUAUAUAUAAUAAUAAUAAUAGUGCUACACUAUGUACACCUCCAGAUUGCAUAUUGUCCCAACAAAUGUCAAUUAUACAUUUUUAAAUACGUCAGAGUGCAUUUUCUUUUAUAGCUCUGCUUUCAACACCAUCCUUACCCACAAACUGGUUAGCAGGCUCUGGGUGUAAAUCCUGUAAUAACACAUUCGAUUUUUUACAUUAUAAGAAUGUGUAUCCCUAGAAUGGACCCGACACUACCAUGGUACACAUGAGUACAUGAAGGAGCUGUGGGACCUGACAAUGAUGAUGGGACAAGUCUCAGCAUAAACAAAGUAGAUGGUGAUACUUGACCAUUCUCCCAUCUACUGUACAUGGAAAUGAUCAGCAGCUUCAAGUUCCUGGGCACCCUGAUAUCCUUUUCUUCCCUCAGUUACUUCACUCAAAGUCCCACUUGUGCUUCUCCACUACCCUCAAACUUGCUGCACCACGACCUGUGUACAAACUACAGUGUCUUAUUGCCAUAACAUGUAAAUGAAAUGUCCAUAUUUACUGUAAGAUUUAUGUAACAUUGCACAUAUUGUAACAGUCCCUUGACAUACAUGACUUAACUACUUUGCAUAAUGCUCAGUUUACCCACUAAGAAAUCAUACAUUUAUUUAAAUAUUAAAGCUGCAUUAUGUAUUACUGUA